GACAGAGGCCUCAAGCGUUAGGCGGAAUCACUGGGCUUAAAGCGUGUGUAGGCGGAUCGUUAAGUGUCUUGUGAAAUCCCACGGCUCACCCGUGGAACGGCUGGGCAUACUGGCGAUCUUGGGCCAACUAGGGGCAACUGGAACAAGCGGUGGAGCGGUGAAAUGCGUAGAUAUCGCUUGGAACGCCAAAGGUGAAAACAGGUUGCUGGGGUUGUGC
rnacentral:rRNA from 1 species